rnacentral:rRNA from 1 species
UACGAGUGCUCCAAGCGUUAUCCGGAAUCAUUGGGCGUAAAGGGCGUGUAGGUGGUUGUGUUAGUCUUUUGUUAAAUUCUUCGGCUUAACCGGGGGCAUGCAAAAGAAACGGCACGACUAGAGGAUGCGAGAGGCACAUGGAACUCAUGGAGUAGGGGUGAAAUCCGUUGAUAUCAUGGGGAACACCGAAAGCGAAGGCAAUGUGCUGGCGCACUCCUGACACUGAAACACGAAAGCGUAGGUAGCGAAUGGG